rnacentral:rRNA from 1 species
AUUGAACGCUGGCGGCAUGCCUUACACAUGCAAGUCGAACGGCAGCGGACCUUCGGGUGCCGGCGAGUGGCGAACGGGUGAGUAAUAUAUCGGAACGUACCUUUCAGUGGGGGAUAACGUAGCGAAAGUUACGCUAAUACCGCAUAUUCUGUGAGCAGGAAAGCAGGGGAUCGCAAGACCUUGCGCUGAUUGAGCGGCCGAUAUCAGAUUAGCUAGUUGGUGAGGUAAAGGCUCACCAAGGCGACGAUCUGUAGCGGGUCUGAGAGGAUGAUCCGCCACACUGGAACUGAGACACGGUCCAGACUCCUACGGGAGGCAGCAGUGGGGAAUUUUGGACAAUGGGCGCAAGCCUGAUCCAGCCAUGCCGCGUGAGUGAAGAAGGGCCUCGGUUGGUAAGUACGUCUUUCGGUCC